AGAGUUUGAUCCUGGCUCAGGAUGAACGCUAGCGGCAGGCCUAACACAUGCAAGUCGAGGGGCAUCACGAGGUAGCAAUACUUUGGUGGCGACCGGCGCACGGGUGCGUAACGCGUAUGUAACCUACCUAUAACAGGGGCAUAACACUGAGAAAUUGGUACUAAUUCCCCAUAAUAUUCGGAGAGGCAUCUCUCCGGGUUGAAAACUCCGGUGGUUAUAGAUGGACAUGCGUUGUAUUAGCUAGUUGGUGAGGUAACGGCUCACCAAGGCAACGAUACAUAGGGGGACUGAGAGGUUAACCCCCCACACUGGUACUGAGACACGGACCAGACUCCUACGGGAGGCAGCAGUGAGGAAUAUUGGUCAAUGGACGCAAGUCUGAACCAGCCAUGCCGCGUGCAGGAUGACGGCUCUAUGAGUUGUAAACUGCUUUUGUACUAGGGUAAACUCACCUACGUGUAGGUGACUGAAAGUAUAGUACGAAUAAGGAUCGGCUAACUCCGUGCCAGCAGCCGCGGUAAUACGGAGGAUUCAAGCGUUAUCCGGAUUUAUUGGGUUUAAAGGGUGCGUAGGCGGUUUGAUAAGUUAGAGGUGAAAUGUUAGGGCUCAACCCUGAAACUGCCUCUAAUACUGUUGGACUAGAGAGUAGUUGCGGUAGGCGGAAUGUAUGGUGUAGCGGUGAAAUGCUUAGAGAUCAUACAGAACACCGAUUGCGAAGGCAGCUUACCAAACUAUAUCUGACGUUGAGGCACGAAAGCGUGGGGAGCAAACAGGAUUAGAUACCCUGGUAGUCCACGCAGUAAACGAUGAUAACUCGUUGUCGGCGAUACACAGUCGGUGACUAAGCGAAAGCGAUAAGUUAUCCACCUGGGGAGUACGUUCGCAAGAAUGAAACUCAAAGGAAUUGACGGGGGCCCGCACAAGCGGAGGAACAUGUGGUUUAAUUCGAUGAUACGCGAGGAACCUUACCCGGGCUUGAAAGUUAGCGACGAUUCUUGAAAGAGGAUUUCCCUUCGGGGCGCGAAACUAGGUGCUGCAUUGUUGUCCCUCUUUUCGCCGAACGGGUGCCGGCCUGAGCCUACAUAUGCGGUAGCCU
rnacentral:rRNA from 1 species